GCAUAUCAAUAAGCGGAGGAAAAGAAACCAACAGGGAUUGCCCUUAGUAACGGCGAAGUGAAGCGGCAACAGCUCAAAUUUGAAAUCUGGCUCCUUCCGGGGUCCGAGUUGUAAUUUGUAGAGGGUGCUUUGGCGUCGGCCAUGGUCUAAGUUCCUUGGAACAGGACGUCACAGAGGGUGAGAAUCCCGUACGUGGCCGCUGGCCUUCGCCAUGUAAAGCCCCUUCGACGAGUCGAGUUGUUUGGGAAUGCAGCUCUAAAUGGGAGGUAAAUUUCUUCUAAAGCUAAAUAUUGGCCAGAGACCGAUAGCGCACAAGUAGAGUGAUCGAAAGAUGAAAAGCACUUUGGAAAGAGAGUCAAAAAGCACGUGAAAUUGUUGAAAGGGAAGCGCUUGCAGCCAGACUUGCCCGUAGUUGCUCAUCCAGGCUUCGGCCUGGUGCACUCUUCUGCGGGCAGGCCAGCAUCAGUCCAGGCGGUCGGAUAAAGGUCCCGGGAAUGUGGCUCUCUUCGGGGAGUGUUAUAGCCCGGGGCGCAAUGCGGCCAGCUUGGACUGAGGUCCGCGCAUCUGCUAGGAUGCUGGCGUAAUGGCUGUAAGCGGCCCGUCUUGAAACACGGACCAAGGAGUCUAACAUCUAUGCGAGUGUUUGGGUGUCAAGCCCGAGCGCGCAAUGAAAGUGAACGGAGGUGGGAACCCGAAAGGGCGCACCAUCGACCGAUCCUGAUGUCUUCGGAUGGAUUUGAGUAAGAGCAUAGCUGUUGGGACCCGAAAGAUGGUGAACUAUGCCUGAAUAGGGUGAAGCCAGAGGAAACUCUGGUGGAGGCUCGCAGCGGUUCUGACGUGCAAAUCGAUCGUCAAAUUUGGGCAUAGGGGCGAAAGACUAAUCGAACUAUCUAGUAGCUGGUUCCUGC
rnacentral:rRNA from 1 species